rnacentral:rRNA from 1 species
UACGUAGGGGGCAAGCGUUAUCCGGAUUUACUGGGUGUAAAGGGUGAGUAGGCGGUUUGACAAGUCACAUGUGAAAUUUCAAAGCUCAACUUUGAAACUGCAUGAGAAACUGUUAAACUUGAGUGCAGGAGAGGUAGGCGGAAUUCCUAGUGUAGCGGUGAAAUGCGUAGAUAUUAGGAGGAACACCAGUGGCGAAGGCGGCCUACUGGACUGAAACUGACGCUGAGUCACGAAAGCGUGGGGAGCAAACAGG